UGCGCAUGCUUGUCGGAGAUUCUCAGGCGACCUUCCCUCUUAUCUUCCUCUUGCAUUUAUCAGAAGUGCUGAACCCUUGACGUGCCUUAUCUUAUUUGCUCCUCACAACAAAUCUUAUGAGAUGCAUCACUACCAGAAGUUGUCCAGAAAGAACUGUGACCGUAUGUUUUAAUUAAAUAAUUUUUCAUCCAGUUUUUUUCUUUGCAUAUAAAGAAACAGAAUCCUGACAUCUGAUUGAAUUAUUGGCUCUCCUGAUGGUUGCACGAUGGCUGCAGCAGUUCCAGAUGUCCCAUCGAGACACAAAAAGAUCCCAGAUGGAAGAUGCCAUCUCCUCCUAUGUGCCUCUUUUUAAGAGUGCCAUGCCACUCAAACAGCCAAUGGAAAGGCCCACGUGGCGAGAGCUAAGGCUUCCUGCCAACAGGCAAGUGAGGAAGCCCAGUCAGCUGCCUGCAGUCCUGACCCAUGAAGAGCCUGACUGAAAGUGAAUGAGCAACCCUGAGCUAGGACAACCCAGCAAGGCCCAUCCUGAAUUCCUGCCCACAAAAACUCUGAGACAGUAAAUGUUCGUUGUUUUAAACCACAAAGUUUUGAAGUAAUAGAUUAAUUAGGUAACCAAUUGGGACUGCAGUAUUCCUUCAGGGAACUUGAAUAGUCAUUCUGUAUAUGGAAAUUGUACACAUCUUAAAAUUGCUGGACUAAAGUGAGAAGAGACUGUCUUGAGUCAACUGGAUAAAGUGGAAAAAAAAUUAAUUUGGAAAUCAAUAGAAUUCUGGCCUUGGCUUUGUCACUAAGAAACACUUAUAAGUAAUUUCACUUCUCUUGAAAUUAUGAUCAUUAUCUAUAACAUAAAGGAACUGAGCUAAAUGUUAUCUGAUGCCUCUUUAGGCUCUCAAACUCCAUAGAUUUAUGACAUGCUUGAAAUUCACUUUGUUUCACCCUAAUUCAGAGCUUUGUUUCACUAGCUCUAGAAUUAGAUGCCUUGGGUUUAAAUUGCAAUUCAGUCACUUAUUUAAAUAAUUGUACUUGGAUGAGUGAUGUUGCCAUUUUAAGCCUCAGUUUCCCCAUAGAUUCAUUGAGAAGAUCAAAUAAGAUGAUGCAGAUAAAGCUCUUAGUUUGUGGGGACACUUAGUAAGUGCUUAAUAAAUACAGGCAGUUGUGUUAUCUAUGUUGUAGCAGCACAUUUUGUAAAAUAAAACAAAGUUGAAAUCACA
rnacentral:lncRNA from 1 species